ensembl:rRNA 5S_rRNA 5S ribosomal RNA
GUCUAUAGCCAUACCACCCUGAACACGCCUGAUCUCGGAACCUAAGCAGGGUCAGGCCUGGUUAGUACUUGGAUGGGAGAAAGAAGGAAAUAAGACUGUUUUGGGCU